AUGAUACUAUGAUAGUCAUUUAUAUGAGGAAGGAGCCGAAGAAUUUUAUAUGUUGAGGAAGAGCCGGAUGUUGAUACUUCUUGGGAAGGAUACAUGAAUCCUGGUCCUCCACUGGUGUUUGCAAGUAGUGUGGUUCAUGUACAUGGAUUAUGGAGCGAAAUAAUAAAUCAAAUAAAAUGCUACUCCAACAUUUUUCUCUUUGCUGCAAAAAUGGUCAUCUUAAAUUUCAUCCGGAAGAACAGCCUCCCGAGCCUCUUGCUUCCUUCUAUCUGGUAGUGAACAAUCAGCACACUUCAGAAAAAACAUGCAGGUUUAUAAUGCUAUGUUUAUGUUCUUUCCCUUGACCAUUUUUAUCUUUUGCCUGGCCUCCAGAAUGAUCACUCGCUAAUGCGCUAUUAUCCGCAUCUGCUGAACCAAUAUCGUCGUCUUCUUUUGGCUGACUGAUGACACUAUCUUGCCUCUUCUUUAUCAAUUUCUUUGCAGAUUUAUUCUCCUCUUUUUCUUGAUUAGCCACUUCGGUUGCAGCUAGAUGCUGAGAUGACAAAAUAUGGUUAUAUUUAACCAUAUAAGGGGGAUAUCUUGGAGAGGAUGUCACUCAUUGAGUGUGCAGAACAUAUUGUGGCCGCAAGGAAGUCUUCUUUCCAGAUUUUAAUAUCAGCUCACCUCAAGAAAUUAGCCCGCAUCUGCUGCAUUCCGCAGUUUACAACAAUGUCAUUUUUUGUGGUGAGAUUGAUGGAGCUGUAUUAGAUUUUUUGUUCCCUUCUAAUAUGCUUGCAACUUGAAGUUUUGUAUCUGAAAGAUUCUUAAGAUACAGUCAAAUAUGCUCAAUAUUGAUUCUAGCUACCAAAAAAUAUUUAACACAAUCAUAGAGCCUAAUGUAACCGAUGACAUAAUACAUAUCUUAAAAAAUUACAAGAGGUGUGCCUCACUUGAAUGAAGGAAUUUUAUUUUGGUUUUUGUAAAUCGUUUUAAUGCUCAAAAUGUGUCCAUACUCUGUGCCUGGUAAGUUGAAAGAAUCAUUUGUGAGGC